AGCGACACUGCUUUUUGAUCCUUCGAUGUCGGCUCUUCCUUCCAUUGCGCCGCAGCAGUCCCAAAGUGUCGGAUGGUUCACCCUCCACGAGGGCGUGUGAGCUGGGCCUAGACCGUCGCGACAGUAUUCGAAGUUUGCGCGAGAGGAGCACUUCGCUCAUAUACUUGGUAAAUGUGGCUAACUGAGAAGCUAAUACUGCGGAACUACCAUCUGUUG
rnacentral:rRNA from 1 species